rnacentral:lncRNA from 1 species
UUUAUUAUAUCUUUUUCGAGAAUAGGGAUAGGAAUAGACCCUUAUCCCCCACUUUAUACCCAAACGCUAAUUUUUUACCCGAUAAUAGUAGUUCUCGGUUAUCCCUACCAACACCUCCAUUUUCUAUAUAAAACUACUUAAAAUUGUUCUUAUCCUCGGGAACAACCCAAUUUUUAUCCAAACACUAUUUUUCUUAUCCCCAUACUUGUACUUAUCCCUGUAAUAACUAGUUCUUGCUUAUACCCGAACCAAACAGUACCUUAAUGUUUGUAAAGAGUUUCUCUGUUCUAUGUCAUUGUAAUCAGUGGGAGAUUUUUUUUUUUUUCCCUUUACCAUCACAUCUUUUAAAUUUAACUUUAUAAGUGGUAAAGAAUUUGUUGAUUGAUAUUCGAGGUCUCAAAUUCGAAUACUAAUUGAUUUAUAUUUCUAGCUAAAUUUAUUUUCUAAAUGAAAUAAACGAAACGGAAUAGAGCAUGCUACAUAUCUCCCAAGAAAAAAAAAAAAAAAAACUCUGAAACGUAGUGCCAACGAAGCGGAAGCUAAACUUGAAUAAACAUAACCACUUCUUUCAAAUUCAACUAAAUAAAAUUGAAGUUUUUCGAGCUUUAGGCCACAAGCAGGAUAUAUGAUCUGAGUAGACUAAAUCCAUUUUUCUCUGCUUUUUUUUUUUCGGUCACGUUUCCUAUUUCUUUAGCCUAAAAACCACGCGUUCAUCUUAACAUACCAAUAUUCAUAGUACAAGUGUAGCAAAGAUAACAUAGAAUCUACACAACACCCCCAGAUUAAAGCAGAACCCAAGAGAAAAAGAAAAAGAAAAAUGGACCUCUAAGUAAAGUGAGUUUGCGAAGAAGGGAUCAGAGGGAGAGGAUCCCUUCCUUGACGAAGAGGCCGAGCACGAGGAUGAGGAAACCGAGGGUGAUGCAUUGGGUGGCGGACACGAUGGUCUGCGAGUACGCCAACAGCGUUACGCCCGCGCCCACGCACCCUAUCAAGAACCCGCUCAAGUUCCGAUCCAUCCCUGAUCCCUGAUCCCUGAUCCCUUUCUCUCUCUCUCUCUCUCUUUCUAAUUUCCCUUCUCAAAGAUGCUGGUGUGGAAGAGAAUACAAGUAGCCCCAAAGUCAACUGGUUUUACACAGGGAAAUGAGAUAGAGAAAAACAACAACAACAAUAAUAAUAAUAAUAAUAAUAAUAAUAAGAGAACGUGUUUGACUUUUCCUCUAAUGUAUCUUGAUGUC